GGGAGCCAUUUGGGGAGUGCACGGCGGUUGGGCGCGGGGCAUAUUUGGCUGUGACGCCCAACCUGGGUUUCUAUCGCCCUAUCCCCUAGGGCUCAUCUGAGACCUAAGAUGGCGGCGUUUGCAUAAUGUGAAAGCGAUGCAGGCGUACCAGAUUGGAGAGGCAGGCAAAGGAUGUAUCUGCUAAGGAAGGUUCGGGAACUCGCCAAUACUUGUGGUGAGUGCUGAGCCUCACAUCGGCUUGGAAGAUGACUUUUAGCAAGAUUACACACUUUGGGAUUGCGUGGCCUGGCUGGGUGGGGGAGGAGCUGGCCUGCAUUUCAUUUUUCUCUCUCGCUCUCUUCAAAAUAUCGGAGAUUAAUUUUUUUCUCUCCUUAAUAACCUUACUACCAUGGAUAAGCCUAGGUGCUUGCAGAAACUAGCUCCUAGGAGGGAUUCUGGGUCAUUUUCUUCUCUUUUUAACUUGUAUAAAUGGGUUUUUAUUGGCACCGUGCCGCCCGCAAAUGAAAUACUCUAUCUCCCUUAGAGCGCUUUCAGGAACUGCCUAACCUGUUCCGCCUACCCGUCCUUAUUUUUUUAGGGCUACCUUUCGCGUGCAAACUUUGUAGUUUUGAUAUACCAGUCACUUUGUAACAUAUUCAUUGUGGGCUAGAUUAAAAUGUUUUUUUCCUCUUCCCUUUAUAUAUACCCCAGAUGAGGGCUUUUGAGCAUAUAAUAUUUACCAUUUAUUCUGGAAGCAUCCCAGAGGUUGAGGGGUGUGUGUGUGUGUGUGUGUGUGUGUGUGUGUGUGUGCGCGCGCGCGGGCGCGUGCAUUUUCAGGCCGCAUAUGGAGCAUAUGAAAGUUCCCAGGCUAGGGGUCGAAUCAGAGCUGCAGCUGCUGGCCAAUGCCAUAGGCACAGCAAUGCUGGAUCCUAACCACAUCUGCGACCUACACUGCAGCUCACAGUACCACAGGAUCUUUAACACACUGAAUGAAGCUAGGGAUCAGAUGUGCAUCAUCAUGGAUACAUGUGGGGUUCAUUACCGCUGAGCUAUAGUGGGAAGUCCUGGGUAUCCUGUGUAUUCAUUCUUUUUUUUUUUUUUCUGUCUUUUUAGGGCCGCACCCUCGGUAUAUGGAGGCUCCCAGGCUAGCGGUCCAAUCGGAGCUGUAGCUGCCAGCCUACACCACAGCCACAGCAAUGCCAGAUCCAUGCUGUGUCCGAGACCUACACCACAGCUCACGGCAAUGCCGGAUCCUUAACCCACUGAGCAAGGCCAGGGAUCGAACCUGCAACCUCAUGGUUCCUAGUCAGAUUCAUUUCAGCUGUGCCACAAUGGGAACUUCCUAUCCUGCAACUUUUGAUACAUUGUAGUUUCAUUUUCAUUUAGCUCAAAAUAUAUUUUAAAUUCUCUUGAGAUUUCUUCUUUGAUUCACCUGCUAGUUAGAAGUGUGUUAUUUAAAAUGAAAAUAUUUUGGGAUUUCCCAGUUAUCUUUUUGUUACUGAUCUAGUUUAAUUCCACUGUCUUUUGAGAGCAUACAUACAGACCACAGGCAGUAUCUUCUUAUCUGUCUCUUUCCUGGUUCUCUCUGGUAAACUUCUAACUGGUAUUCUUUUAGUUUGUUGCUCUCAUGUAGUUACUAGUCUCCUCUUAAGGCUUAGCACCAAAAU
rnacentral:lncRNA from 9 species